rnacentral:antisense_RNA from 1 species
UUGACAGCGAUUCCCGGAAAUGCGAUUCUCAAAGGUGUUCAGACUUAGAGGAAAGCUUCCGUUACGGUGACGUUCGGGGGCUUUUUUCUUUUGCG